ACUUAAUAAUGUUUCCAUGUCUCUUUUAGGUUGACCACCCUAUAUAUGAGAGCCUAAGGAGUUGUUUUCCCUCUGUCCCCUUUUGAGGACCUGCUUUGUCUCCUCCAUCAUUCACUGGGCCACUUUUGGGUUCCUGAGCUUAUUUCAUGUGGUCAUGAAUUUGGUGAGGAGUGGAGCUGGCUGGCUGCGGACGAGGAAGUAGGGCAAUAUAUACAUGUGCACAUACACGUAUAUGAGAAUGCAUAUCUAUUCAGACCUGUAAUUCAUGUCUUAGACUUUUUCACACAGCUAUAGAUCAUUAUUUGUUUUUCAAUUCUCUAUUUAUGGUUUCAUAAUGACUGAGUCACCGUUAAAACAAAUGAGUUUCAGCUCUAAUGCUGCUACUGUCUGUAAUAUGUUUCUAUUUAGAUUAUUUGUCAGGAUAUUUUGUUAUUAUUGUCCGAGUCUGGUUUUAACUAAUGCUGGGCUUACACCAAAAGAUUUUCACAGUCACAGACUAAAAACUGAAAGGGUAGCAUGAGGGUUCUUCCCGUUAGUCUCGUCCCACCCCUAGUCAUGACAUAACUUCUGUUGUGAUUUGACACUAUAAUGAAUAAAGACUGAUUGAUUGAU